rnacentral:rRNA from 1 species
UACGAAGGGGGGCUAGCGUUGCUCGGGAAUGACUGGGCGUAAAGGGCGCGUAGGCGGAUGGCACAGUCAGAUGUGAAAUUCCCGGGCUUAACCUGGGGGCUGCAUUUGAUACGUGUUGUCUAGAGUGAGGAAGAGGGUUGUGGAAUUCCCAGUGUAGAGGUGAAAUUCGUAGAUAUUGGGAAGAACACCUGGUGGAGGAGGCGACCCUGGCCGUCC